rnacentral:rRNA from 1 species
UACGAAGGGGGCGAGCGUUGUUCGGAUUUACUGGGCGUAAAGGGCGCGCAGGCGGCGCAUCAAGUCAGGCGUGAAAGCCCCGGGCUUAACCUGGGAACUGCGUCUGGGACUGGUGGGCUAGAGAUCGGGAGAGGAGAGUGGAAUUCCCAGUGUAGAGGUGAAAUUCGUAGAUAUUGGGAAGAACACCAGUGGCGAAGGCGGCUUCCUGGUCCGACACCGACGUUCAGGCACGAAAGCGUGGGGAGCAAACAGG